GAUGAACGCUGGCGGCAUGCUCAACACAUGCAAGUCGGACGGGAAGAGGUGUUUCCUGUGGCGGACGGGUUAGUAACGCGUAAGAACCUGCCCUGGGGAUGGGCACAAUAGCUGGCAACGGCUGCUACGACCCCGCAGGCCGAGGAGCAAAAGGAGGAAUCCACCCGAGGAGGGGCUUGCGUCUGACUUGCUAGUUGGCGCGGCCAUAGCCUACCAGGGCGAUGGUCCGUAGCUGGUCCGAGUGGAUCAUCAGCCACACUGCUACUGAGGCACGGAGCAGACUACCUUCCGCGACAGCAGUGAGCAUUUUUCCGCAAUGGGGCGUGACUUAUCGGGGCCUUGCGGCCGUGAGGUAGUGUUCCCAGGGGUCGUGAACUGCUUUUCCAGCUGUAGACACAAUGACGGUAUCUGAUGAAUAAGCAUCGGCUAACUCUGUG
rnacentral:rRNA from 1 species